UACGUAGGUGGCAAGCGUUGUCCGGAUUUACUGGGCGUAAAGGGCGUGCAGGCGGUUUGUUAAGUCUAGGGUGAAAGCUCCCGGCUCAACUGGGAGAGGUCCUUGGAUACUGGCAGACUUGAGGAGGGUAGAGGAGAGUGGAAUUCCCGGUGUAGUGGUGAUAUGCGUAGAUAUCGAGAGGAACACCAGUGGCGAAGGCGAGUCCCUGGACAACACCUGACACUGAGGCACGAAAGCUAGGGGAGCAAACAGG
rnacentral:rRNA from 1 species